CAUAUACUACACGCACGCACGCACCCACACACACACACAUAUAUAUAUAUAUAUACAGAAAACGCAUUGGAAAGUUAGUGCUUUGACACGUUUACAUUCAAAACAGAGUUGGUGAACACUUGGCUUCUUCAUGUUUCACUUUCAUGACAAGUUCUCUUAUGUUAUUGGAUAAUUAAUAAUGUGUUUUUUCUCCAAAUUCUGCUUAAGAAAAAUAGAAAAGGAAAUCUCAAGGGACAUUCGAAUAUAUUAUAAGCACAGAGCGGAACAGCGCAGAAACAGACAGUGAGAGAAAGAGAGAGAGAGAGACAGAAGCAGAAGAUAGAGACAAUCCACCAGUUGUUGCAGCUGCUUCAACAGAGAGUGAUGGUCGCUUAUAGGCGGAUGGGAUCUUACUUUUUGAAACCCACAUUUAUUUUCCUUUCUCACUCGCUGAAAAGCGGAAGAAUUUCCAAGAAAAUGGAGGGCGUUCUGUCCUUCAUAGACUGUUUCUAAGGUCUUCCUAAUCUCAGUAACUCAGUUGGCUUAUAUUUGCACAUUGUAUGUUGUACCUUGAAAUAAUCUUUUCAAAAGAGUAAUGGAGGAACUCUUCUACAAGCAUGGUCAAGUUGGAAAGGGAUGCUAACCAUGGCUUCUUGUCCAGCCACCUGCAAGGAAGAUAAACGCUGCUGUUGGGGACUUUGAUAAUAAGCAGAUCGUGUCGCCAUAUCCUCUGUAUAGUAGCUCAUGAACAUCAAGUCAUGGUAGUGCUUCUUCUACAGAUACACAUCCUAUUAGUUCUUAAUUUGUCAAUUCUUGCAGAAAGUUUUGGAUAGUUGUAUUGUCAAUUCUUGAUUUUGUGCUCUAUAGAAAUGAUUUUUGGAUGCUAGUUUUAUAAACCAACUUUCAGUACCUUUCAUAGAAAUAGAAUAAAAGGUUCCAACUUUAUAAACAUUCAAUUCCUUAAAUUUUUAUAUGUCAACUGAUCAAUGUGGAAUAAAUUUAGUUCAGGUGUAGUAAGGAAAUGCUUUAAUUUGAAGCUCCUGCUUCCGUAUUUUGUUGGCCGCAAAGUAUGGACCCUUGCAGCAUUAGUGCUUCUAUUUUUUCUGAAUCUAUGUGUGUGUAAUAAACUGCCCAUUACAAUUA